GCUUGACCCAUCUGUGACCUUGUCUAAAGGAUCUCCCUGCUGUUUCAUGCAAAGCAGACAUUUCUAGGAAUAGAAACUGAAACCAAUUCUGACAGCAGCCCUUCCAUGGAGAGUUAGCAUAAUUAGAGCUCAGAUCCAGCCAGAAAAGUGUAGAACAGGAAGGAUAAAGUAACUGGGAUCAGGCUGUCCAUCCCUAGUGCUCCUCCUUUCUUUAUGCAGUUCUUCUGAGAACCUCAGCACUGCACACCUCACCUGUUUUCUUCCUGAACAUCCUGAGUGUGAGCUCCAGGUUUAGAUCAUUCCACAGUCACUCUCUUCACUAUAGUGCAAAGAGCUUUCCUAAGACGAGAACAUUCUCAGAUCAAGCUCGCCACUGCUGAGGUCUUACUUUGGGCUGGAUGAUGCCUCAUUGGAAAACAUUGCUCAAGAUUUUAACAUGUCCAUGGAUGAACUCAAGGACUACCUUCGGUUUCCCCAUUUGUUUGAGGAAGACAGCAAUGUGCCCUUGGAAGACAAACUAUGGAAAUAUAUCCAGCACAUUUCCUCAGUUACUGGUGGACCAGUUGUAUUUACUACAGAAAGACUUACUAUCUGCAGAAUCUCUUUCUUGAAACUGCAGCAAAUGAUGCCAUAACACUUCUUAAUAGGGAAGAUCUUUUGGAAAAGACCCCUGACUACUGGGAAUGAUGGGAAAUGAGACACAAACUCCAAUCGGUGUUUAUGUCUGGCCUUGCUUUGGACACUGACUCCUAACCUACUCCCGAGUAAAAAACCUUGUCUGUGGAGAGCCAGAGAGUUCAUCCUUUUCCUCGUCCUGAGCCUGAAGAUUAUUGUGGCAAGAGCUCAAGUGUGCUAUAGCAGUAGGAUAAGUAGAGUCACCAACAUUGUGCAAAUGCAUGAGGAAACCUCACUUCCAAUAAACUCAUAUGUGAAAAA